rnacentral:rRNA from 1 species
GCAACAGCUCAAAUUUGAAAUCUGGCCCCCCUUGGGUCCGAGUUGUAAUUUGGAGAGGAUGUUUCUGGCGCGGCGCCUUCCGGAGUUCCUUGGAACAGGACGCCACAGAGGGUGAGAGCCCCGUACGGUCGGCCGCCUAGCCUCCACGAAACUCCUUCGACGAGUCGAGUAGUUUGGGAAUGCUGCUCAAAAUGGGAGGUAAAUUUCUUCUAAAGCUAAAUACUGGCCAGAGACCGAUAGCGCACAA